AUCCAGAUGAUGAGUCCCGAAUAGGACGAAAUGCGCAUUGUACUGGAU
rfam:Trichobilharzia regenti genome assembly, scaffold: TRE_scaffold0015829